UACAGAGGGUGCGAGCGUUGUCCGGAAUCACUGGGCGUAAAGGGCGCGUAGGCGGUCUGAUAAGUAGGGGGUGAAAUCCUGUGGCUUAACUGCAGGGCUGCCUCCUAGACUGUUAGGCUCGAGCACGGUAGAGGCAGAUGGAAUUCCCGGUGUAGCGGUGGAAUGCGUAGAGAUCGGGAAGAACAUCGGUGGCGAAGGCGGUCUGCUGGGCCGUUGCUGACGCUGAGGCGCGACAGCGUGGGGAGCGAACGGG
rnacentral:rRNA from 1 species